UUUCAAUCUCAACUUCAACAAAUUUCCAAAAUUUAAAAGAACCCAUCAAUCAAAAUCACAUACUUCCAUCAAAGAAACCACCUUUUACCCCCAAAAAACAAAGUAAAAAACAAUUCAAGAUAAAAUAAAACAAAAAAACAUAGAAAAAAAAAAACCAUAAACACCCGGAGAAGCAAAUCAGAAGAUAGAUCAAGAGAAACAAACCAUCGCCAUCCUUAUCGAACAAACUGAAAGCUUCCUUGAACUCAGAGAUCUGGUCAUCCGUCAAUUGAUCCGCCAUUUCUCUUUU